GGUGCCCGUACCGCAAACCGACACAGGUAGGUAGGAAGAAGAUUCUAAGGCCAACGGGAGAAGGGUUGUUAAGGAACUCGGCAAAUUGACCCCGUAACUUCGGGAGAAGGGGUGCUCCAGAGAUGGAGCCGCAGAGAAUCGGCCCAAGCAACUGUUUACCAAAAACACAGGUUUGUGCUAAAUCGAAAGAUGACGUAUACGAGCUGACGCCUGCCCGGUGCUGGAAGGUUAAGAGGAGAUGUGCAAGCAUUGAAUCGAAGCCCCAGUGAACGGCGGCCGUAACUAUAACGGUCCUAAGGUAGCGAAAUUCCUUGUCAGGUAAGUUCUGACCCGCAUGAAAGGCGUAAUGAUUUGGGCACUGUCUCAACAGCCCGCCCGGCGAAAUUGUAGUACCGGUGAAGAUGCCGGUUACCCGCGACAAGACGGAAAGACCCCAUGGAGCUUUACUGUAGCCUAAUAUUGGGUUUCGAUGUUGCAUGCACAGGAUAGAUGGGACACUGGGAAGCAAGUGCUUUGGCGCUUGUGGAGUGGCCGUUGGGAUACCAUCCUUGCGAUAUUGGAAUUCUAACCUGCGCCUUUGAAUCAAGGCGGGGGACAUUGUUAGGUGGGCAGUUUGACUGGGGCGGUCGCCUCCUAAAGAGUAACGGAGGCGUUCAAAGGUUCGCUCAGCUUGAACGGAAAUCAAGCAAAAGAGUGCAAACGCAGAAGCGAGCCUAACUGCGAGACUGACGGGUCGAGCAGUAACGAAAGUUGGAGUUAGUGAUCCGGUGGUAUGUGAGUGGAAAUGCCAUCGCUCAACGGAUAAAAGUUACCCUGGGGAUAACAGGCUGAUCUCCCCCAAGAGUCCACAUCGACGGGGAGGUUUGGCACCUCGAUGUCGGCUCAUCGCAUCCUGGGGCUGUAUUCGGUCCCAAGGGUUUGGCUGUUCGCCAAUUAAAGCGGUACGCGAGCUGGGUUCAGAACGUCGUGAGACAGUUCGGUCCCUAUCUGUCGUGGGCGCAGGAUAUUUGAUGGGAGCUGUUCCUAGUACGAGAGGACCGGAGCGGACGUACCUCUGGCGCACCAGUUGUUCUGCCAAGAGCAUAGCUGGGCAACUAUGUACGGAUCGGAUAAACGCUGAAAGCAUCUAAGCGUGAAGCCGACCCAAAGAUAAGAUAUCCCAUUGUUUCAAACAAGUAAGACCCCUUGAAGACUACAAGGUUGAUAGGCACGAUGUGUAAGUGGAGUGAUCCAUUCAGCAAGCGUGUACUAAUAGGUCGAGGGCUUGACCAC
rnacentral:rRNA from 1 species